rnacentral:rRNA from 1 species
UACGUAGGGAGCAAGCGUUGUCCGGAAUUAUUGGGCGUAAAGAGCUCGUAGGCGGUUUGUCGCGUCUGCUGUGAAAACCUAAGGCUCAACCUUGGGCUUGCAGUGGGUACGGGCAGACUAGAGUGCGGUAGGGGUGACUGGAAUUCCUGGUGUAGCGGUGGAAUGCGCAGAUAUCAGGAGGAACACCGAUGGCGAAGGCAGAUCUCUGGGCCGUAACUGACGCUGAGGAGCGAAAGCAUGGGGAGCGAACAGG